UACAGAGGGUGCGAGCGUUGUUCGGAAUUAUUGGGCGUAAAGCGCUGGUAGGUGGCUUGUUAAGUCGCUGUGUGAAAGCUCCAGGCUCAACCUGGAAAGUGCGCGCGAAACUGGCGAGCUUGAGUGCCGGAGAGGGUCGUGGAAUUCCCAGUGUAGAGGUGAAAUUCGUAGAUAUUGGGAGGAACACCAGAGGCGAAGGCGACGACCUGGAAGGUGACUGACACUGAGCAGCGAAAGCGUGGGGAGCAAACAGG
rnacentral:rRNA from 1 species